rnacentral:rRNA from 1 species
ACUUCGGUUCUAGCGGCGGACGGGUGAGUAACGCGUGGGAAUGUGCCCUUCUCUACGGAAUAGCCCUGGGAAACUGGGAGUAAUACCGUAUACGCCCUAUUGGGGAAAGAUUUAUCGGAGAAGGAUCAGCCCGCGUUGGAUUAGGUAGUUGGUGGGGUAAUGGCCUACCAAGCCGACGAUCCAUAGCUGGUUUGAGAGGAUGAUCAGCCACACUGGGACUGAGACACGGCCCAGACUCCUACGGGAGGCAGCAGUGGGGAAUCUUAGACAAUGGGGGCAACCCUGAUCUAGCCAUGCCGCGUGAGUGAUGAAGGCCUUAGGGUUGUAAAGCUCUUUCAGCUGGGAAGAUAAUGACGGUACCAGCAGAAGAAGCCCCGGCUAACUCCGUGCCAGCAGCCGCGGUAAUACGGAGGGGGCUAGCGUUGUUCGGAAUUACUGGGCGUAAAGCGCACGUAGGCGGACCGGAAAGUCAGAGGUGAAAUCCCAGGGCUCAACCUUGGAACUGCCUUUGAAACUAUCGGUCUGGAGUUCGAGAGAGGUGAGUGGAAUUCCGAGUGUAGAGGUGAAAUUCGUAGAUAUUCGGAGGAACACCAGUGGCGAAGGCGGCUCACUGGCUCGAUACUGACGCUGAGGUGCGAAAGCGUG